UACAGAGGUCUCAAGCGUUGUUCGGAUUCAUUGGGCGUAAAGGGUGCGUAGGCGGCGCGGUAAGUCGGGUGUGAAAUCUUGGAGCUUAACUCCGAAACUGCAUUGGAUACUGCCGUGCUUGAGGACUGGAGAGGAGACUGGAAUUUACGGUGUAGCGGUGAAAUGCGUAGAUAUCGUAAGGAAGACCAGUGGCGAAGGCGGGUCUCUGGACAGUUCCUGACGCUGAGGCACGAAGGCCAGGGGAGCAAACGGG
rnacentral:rRNA from 1 species